GGAUAUGAGGGCGAUCUGGCUACAACAACUGUCACCCCACUGAUUGUCAGAGUUGAUUCAGCUGGUUUGCUAGGUGGCUGUCCCCUUCCUCCCUCAGCACUGCAUGUGCGUCCCUCUGGAAGCUGCACGCUCAAAGGGACAACCAAAUAAAGAAGGACCAGUUUUUGGUCAAGGGUAUACAAGUAGCUGCAGUACCCUGCUAGAAUCUCCAAUCAAGCUCUAAAAUUAAAAAGCUACACUUGGGCUGCAAAGCCCAAAGACCCAGGUUCAAUUU
rnacentral:snRNA from 1 species